rnacentral:lncRNA from 1 species
GGAGCCACAGUUGCAACAUCUAUAUGCAAACCUAUGGCAGCAGGAUAGCAGAAGGUAGUUGCAUGCCUGCUUGCCCGAUUUUGAUCACUUAUUACCAUUGUCAUUAAGUUUGCACUAAUAAAGUGUUAUUUGAUUUCAACGCCGUUUUGACGCAUAACUUUUUUGGACAAUUAGUUUUAUAUCGGUGAGUCAACAUAAAAUUGUUUUCUGCUAUUGUCUAAUUUUUGUAUCCCAGCUUGGUAAAUUAAGGGUUAAUAUAAAUUAUUUAGACAAUUUAGAACUUUAACGACGUGAUAAUAAGAAUUUUUUUAUUAUUAAUCCACCGACUCAACAAUAGAAUCUUCGACAUUGUUAUCUUCCAAGAUGCAAUUUAUUUCUUGUUUGAUUGCUCGUGUGAAUGACGCUCUCUUUCCUUUUAACCUUAAAAUCAAGAUCAAUUCGACAUUUAUAUUUUAGCAUCCGUCUUCAAGAAUACUAUAACAAGCUUGCUAUAGCACAGCCCACAGAAUAAACCUUACUUGUGUUCCUUAAUUCUAAUAAAUGCAC